GAUGAAGAACGCAGCGAAAUGCGAUAAGUAAUGUGAAUUGCAGAAUUCAGUGAAUCAUCGAAUCUUUGAACGCACAUUGCGCCCGCUAGUAUUCUGGCGGGCAUGCCUGUCCGAGCGUCAUUUCAACCCUCAAGCCCCCCGGCUUGGUGUUGGGGACCGGCCACCGGUGCCCUGCUGCUUCCGCGGCAGGCGCACCCGGCCGCCCCCGAAAUGAAUUGGCGGCCCCGUCGCGGCCUCCCUCUGCGUAGUAGCACACAUCUCGCAGCUGGAGCGCGGCGCGGCCACUGCCGUAAAACGCACCAACUUUUUUUACAGUUGACCUCGAAUCAGGUAGGAAUACCCGCUGAACUUAAGCAUAUCAAUAAGCGGAGGA
rnacentral:misc_RNA from 1 species